UCGAACGGUAACAGGAAGCAGCUUGCUGUUUCGCUGACGAGUGGCGGACGGGUGAGUAAUGUCUGGGAAACUGCCUGAUGGAGGGGGAUAACUACUGGAAACGGUAGCUAAUACCGCAUAACGUCGCAAGACCAAAGAGGGGGACCUUCGGGCCUCUUGCCAUCGGAUGUGCCCAGAUGGGAUUAGCUAGUAGGUGGGGUAACGGCUCACCUAGGCGACGAUCCCUAGCUGGUCUGAGAGGAUGACCAGCCACACUGGAACUGAGACACGGUCCAGACUCCUACGGGAGGCAGCAGUGGGGAAUAUUGCACAAUGGGCGCAAGCCUGAUGCAGCCAUGCCGCGUGUAUGAAGAAGGCCUUCGGGUUGUAAAGUACUUUCAGCGGGGAGGAA
rnacentral:rRNA from 1 species